rnacentral:rRNA from 1 species
GCAUGCAAGUCGAACGAGAACGGUUCCUUCGGGAACCAAGUAAAGUGGCGGACGGGUGAGUAAUACAUAGACAACUUACCCCCGAGACGGGGACAACCACUCGAAAGGGUGGCUAAUACCCGAUACUGCCUGGAGUCGGUGGAUUCCAGGUGAAAGAUGGCCUCUGUUUCAAGCUUUCACUCGAGGAGGGGUUUAUGUCCUAUUAGCUAGUUGGUGAGGUAACGGCUCACCAAGGCGACGAUGGGUAGCCGGCCUGAGAGGGUGACCGGUCACACUGGGACUGAGACACUGCCCAGACUCCUACGGGAGGCUGCAGUCGAGAAUCUUCCGCAAUGCGCGCAAGCGUGACGGGGCGACGCCGCGUGGGUGAUGAAGGCCUUCGGGUUGUAAAACCCUGUUACCUACUAUGAACAAUUGGUGGUGAAUAGCCAGCCAAGCUGACGUAAGUAGGAGAGGAAGCACCGGCUAAAUACGUGCCAGCAGCCGCGGUAAUACGUAUGGUGCGAACGUUAUUCGGAAUUACUGGGCAUAAAGGGCGCGUAGGCGGUUUGGUAAGUCUGUAUGUGAAAUCCCUCGGCUUAACCGAGGAACUGCAUCGGAUACUGCCAGACUAGAGUGCAGGAGGGGAGAGCGGAAUUCCUGGUGGAGCGGUGAAAUGCGUAGAUAUCAGGAGGAACGCCAGUGGCGAGAGCGGCUCUCUGGCCUGCAACUGACGCUGAGGCGCGAAAGCUAGGGGAGCAAACGGGAUUAGAUACCCCGGUAGUCCUAGCCCUAAACGAUGGGCACUAGGUAGAGGAAGUUUUAGAGCUUUCUCUGCUGUAGCUAAUGUAUUAAGUGCCCCGCCUGGGGAGUAUGGUCGCAAGGCU